GGAUCAGUGGGUCGGUCGUGCCACUGGUAUGUACUGGCCCUACUGGUUCCUCCUUCUUGAGGAACUGUGAUGCCAUUAAUUUGGUGUUGCAGGGAAACAGGACUGUUACUUUGAAAAAAUUAGAGUGUUUAAAGCAGGCUUACGCUUGAAUACAUUAGCAUGGAAUAAUAAAAUAGGACUUUGGUUUUAUUUUGUUGGUUUUCGAGACUGAAGUA
rnacentral:rRNA from 1 species